rnacentral:rRNA from 1 species
UACCAAGGCGAUGAUGCAUAGCCGAGUUGAGAGACUGAUCGGGCCACAUUGGGACUGAGACACGGGCCCAAACUCCUACGGGAGGCAGCAGUAGGGGAAUCUUCCACAAUGGACGCAAAGUCCGAUGGAGCAAACGCCGCGUGAGUGAAGAAGGGUUUCGGCUCGUAAAAAGCUCUGUUGUUGGUGAAGAAGGACAGGGGUAGUAACUGACCCUUUGUUUGACGGUAAUCAAUUAGAAAGUCACGGGCUAACUACGUGCCAGCAGCCGCGGUAAAU